rnacentral:rRNA from 1 species
ACUCCUACGGGAGGCAGCAGUGGGGAAUAUUGGACAAUGGGCGCAAGCCUGAUCCAGCAAUACCGCGUGUGUGAAGAAGGCCUUCGGGUUGUAAAGCACUUUCAAUAGGGAGGAAGGCUUGAUGGUUAAUACCCAUUGAGAUUGACGUUACCUAUAGAAGAAGCACCGGCUAACUCC